rnacentral:snRNA from 1 species
GGAUGUGAGGAAGAUCUGGCUAUGACAUCUGUCACCCCAUUGACCACCAGGGUCGAUUCAGCUGAUCUGGCUGGCUAGGUAGAGGAUGUCCCCUACCUCCCUCACCUCUCCACGUGUGUCUUUCCUGAAGUUGUGUGCUCAGUACAAGAAGACGAUUUUCCCCAAUGAGGGUGUACCGUUCUUCUGUCAGUAAUAUAUCAGUAGUUGGGCUCUCCUGCUAGAACAAACUGCCAAGGUUCAUUUGUAGAAGAACAUAGGUAGUCAAGCUUUCAAGACUCCGUAUCCAUCCAAAUGAGGCCCUACACAUGACAGUCUACCUUCUCUU